AUCAGAAAGAAAUAGACGCACUUUUCUGUCAAAGAUGAGCUCUCCAUAUCAAAUGCGCUCUCAGCCAGAAGUUGUUAUGUUAUACAGAUCUGUGCUCGGUUGUGGACUGCUGUUGGUCAGAUUACAUGCCACUCUAACUCAGCGGGCCAUCGAGAGCUGUGGAAUUUGACACCUGUGCAUCAACAGCGGGAACAGACAGGAUCCGGGAUAGCUCUGCAAGCAGCUGUUGUUUGGGAGUUGUAGUUUUGGGCUAUUUUGAAUGCGAGGAUCGCUCGAGGAAAGGCUAUCGCAUUUGCGGCUCGGAGAAUAUCAAUCUAUAAUAAUCAUAUUACAAGUUAUGGAUGAUGAAGAACGUUCAGUGGCGCCGUGGAGACGAAUGAACGCGCGUCUGGCCAUAUAGCAGCUGCGGCUAGCUGAUUAGCCUGCAGCUCUGGUUCAGGGAGGCAAUGAUGUAGGAAGGGAGAGGCUGCUGGAUACAGGGAUGCCCAGAACCCAUAUUUGACAGAAUUUCACACCCAUUUGAGGCAUACUUGUUUUGCUUUGUGAUGACCCUAUUUACUUCUACAACUAACCUGCUUUGUGUAUGUUGAUGCUUUCUCACUAGUAUCUGUUGGGUUGUUGACCAUCAUUGAAGAUGUACUUACCCAGAUCUUCUUUGCCUUGGCCCUGUGUCUUCUGCCAUCAUUGUUCAGAGUAGUACUGCAAAGAUCAAUCUCCAGGAUCUACCUCAACCUUUCCAGACUGUCAUAUGCUACAUUUGGAUUACUGCUACAUUUGGAUUACCCUAAUACCAUGAAAAACUCUUACUGUGUGAUGCUUAACUUGGGACAGAAAAAAAACACAUUGGCAACUGGUGCGGCCAACCUCAGUAGACAACUUCAGUCUGACAGUUUCAGUUUCACAAUUUGAGAUGAAUUACUGAAAUAAAUGAACUUUUCCACGACAUUCUAAUUUAUUGAGAUGCACCUGUAUAUCUAUGGUGUACUGUAGACAGCAUCACUGAUUAUAACAAGUUAUAGUAUUUUGCCACGCCACUCACAUCGGGUGUAGACAUUAUGUAACAUUGGUUUUGCUUUGUUUCACAGAACUAAUCGUUGCCUGGGUUGCGUAUGUGUGGGGCGGAGCUAUCAAAUAGGGGCGAGAAGCUUUUGGGGCAGGGGCGUGUUUGGUUUGGUGAUUUCAAAUGGCAACAUUGCAUGGUUACCAGAAAUCACUUACCCUGCCUUUAAGAAAGAAAUCAUUUACCUGUUGAGUGUUGACAGUCUGUGUAGUUAGCUGAACUCCAGAAAAUCAGUAAUAAACAACCUUUUUUAGAGUGUA